rnacentral:tRNA from 17 species
GGAGGAUUAGCUCAGUUGGGAGAGCAUCUGCCUUACAAGCAGAGGGUCGGCGGUUCGAGCCCGUCAUCCUCCACCA